AGUGAACGCUGGCGGUAGGCCUAACACAUGCAAGUCGAACGGCAGCACAGUAAGAGCUUGCUCUUACGGGUGGCGAGUGGCGGACGGGUGAGGAAUACAUCGGAAUCUACUUUGUCGUGGGGGAUAACGUAGGGAAACUUACGCUAAUACCGCAUACGACCUACGGGUGAAAGCAGUGGAUCUUCGGACCUUGCGCGAUUGAAUGAGCCGAUGUCGGAUUAGCUAGUUGGCGGGGUAAAGGCCCACCAAGGCGACGAUCCGUAGCUGGUCUGAGAGGAUGAUCAGCCACACUGGAACUGAGACACGGUCCAGACUCCUACGGGAGGCAGCAGUGGGGAAUAUUGGACAAUGGGCGCAAGCCUGAUCCAGCCAUACCGCGUGGGUGAAGAAGGCCUUCGGGUUGUAAAGCCCUUUUGUUGGGAAAGAAAAGCAGCAGGUUAAUACCCCGCUGUUCUGACGGUACCCAAAGAAUAAGCACCGGCUAACUUCGUG
rnacentral:rRNA from 1 species